AUUGAACGCUGGCGGCAGGCCUAACACAUGCAAGUCGAGCGGAUGAAGGGAGCUUGCUCCUGGAUUCAGCGGCGGACGGGUGAGUAAUGCCUAGGAAUCUGCCUGGUAGUGGGGGAUAACGUCCGGAAACGGGCGCUAAUACCGCAUACGUCCUGAGGGAGAAAGUGGGGGAUCUUCGGACCUCAUGCUAUCAGAUGAGCCUAGGUCGGAUUAGCUAGUUGGUGGGGUAAAGGCCUACCAAGGCGACGAUCCGUAACUGGUCUGAGAGGAUGAUCAGUCACACUGGAACUGAGACACGGUCCAGACUCCUACGGGAGGCAGCAGUGGGGAAUAGUGGACAAUGGGCGAAAGCCUUAUCCAGCCAUGCCGCGUGUGUGAAGAAGGUCUUCGGAUUGUAAAGCACUUUAAGUUGGGAGAAAGGGCAGUAAGUUAAUACCUUGCUGUUUUGACGUUACCAACAGAAUAAGCACCGGCUAACUUCGUG
rnacentral:rRNA from 1 species